rnacentral:rRNA from 1 species
AUUGAACGCUGGCGGCAGGCCUAACACAUGCAAGUCGAACGAGUGGCGGACGGGUGAGUAAUGUCUGGGAAAAUGCCUGAUGGAGGGGGAUAACUACUGGAAACGGUAGCUAAUAACGCAUACCAUCAGAUGUGCCCAGAUGGGCUUAGCUAGGUGGGGGGGUAACGGCUCACCAAGGCGACGAUCCCUAGCUGGUCUGAGAGGAGGACCAGCCACACUGGGACUGAGACACGGUCCAGACUCCUACGGGAGGCAGCAGUGGGGAAUAUUGCACAAUGGGCGCAAGCCGGAUGCAGCCAUGCCGCGUGUAUGAAGAAGGCCUUCGGGUUGUAAAGGACUUUCAGCGGGGAGGCGUUACCCGCAGAAGAAGCACCGGCUAACUCCGUGCCAGCAGCCGCGGUAAUUC